rnacentral:rRNA from 1 species
GACGAACGCUGGCGGCGUGGAUUAGGCAUGCAAGUCGCGCGACGCAGAGGAGCAAUCCUUUGACGGAGCGGCGAACGGGUGAGUAACACGUGAACAACCUGUCCCUACGUUCCGGAUAAUUGACCGAAAGGUCUUGUAAUACGGGGGAGGGUCCUGGUGGGGCAUCUCAUUGGGAAGGAACGCGCAAGCGGCGCGGGGAGGGGUUCGCGGAUUAUCAGCUUGUUGGUGAGGUAAUGGCNCACCAAGGCGACGACGAUUAGCUGGUCUGAGAGGAUGGUCAGCCACAUUGGAACUGAGACACUGUCCAGACUCCUACGGGAGCUGCAGUCGAGAAUCGUUGGGCAAUGCACGAAAGUGU